rnacentral:snoRNA from 1 species
UGGUUGUGGAUGAUGAGCGACACGAGGCCGCGCUUGGCCUUGAACGCCCAGGCGUACGAGUCCCAGCCGCUGCUGGUGUACACGGUCUGGAUGGGGAGCUCGCCGGACUCCGGGCCGGGAGCCACUGACACGUUCA